rnacentral:rRNA from 1 species
AGGGUUUGAUCAUGGCUCAGAAUCAACGCUGGCGGCGUGCCUAACACAUGCAAGUCGAACGAGAAAAUCUCCUUCGGGGGAUGAGUAAAGUGGCGAACGGGUGAGUAACGCGUGGGUGACCUGCCCUUGGAAGGGGGAUAACACGAGGAAACUGGUGCUAAUACCGCAUAAGCCUGAUGUAAGAGAUUGCAUUAGGGAAAGUCCUUCGGGAUGUCCAAGGAGGGGCCCGCGUCCGAUUAGCUAGUUGGUGGAGUAAAGGUUUACCAAGGCGACAAUCGGUAACCGGUCUGAGAGGACGGACGGUCACACUGGGACUGAGACACGGCCCAGACUCCUACGGGAGGCAGCAGUGGGGAAUUUUGCGCAAUGGGGGAAACCCUGACGCAGCAACGCCGCGUGAAGGAAGAAGGCUUUCGAGUUGUAAACUUCUGUUUCGGGGGACGAACUUUGACGGUACCCCGGCAGCAAGCCCCGGCUAACUCCGUGCCAGCAGCCGCGGUAAUACGGGGGGGGCAAGCGUUGUUCGGAAUUACUGGGCGUAAAGGGCGCGUAGGCGGUCCGAGAAGUUUCGGGUGAAAGCCGGGGGCUCAACCCGGGAAGGUCCCGGAAAACCAUCGGACUUGAGUGCUGGAGAGGCAAGCGGAAUUUCUGAUGUAGCGGUGAAAUGCGUAGAUAUCAGAAGGAACAUCGGAGGCGAAGGCGGCUUGCUGGACAGCAACUGACGCUGAGGCGCGAAAGCCAGGGGAGCGAACGGGNAUUAGAUACCCCGGUAGUCCUGGCCGUAACGAUGGGNUACUUGG